rnacentral:rRNA from 1 species
UACGGGGGGGGCAAGCGUUGUUCGGAAUUACUGGGCGUAAAGGGCUCGUAGGCGGCCAACUAAGUCAGACGUGAAAUCCCUCGGCUUAACCGGGGAACGGCCUCUGAUACUGGAUGGCUUGAGUUUGGGAGAGGGACGCGGAAUUCCAGGUGUAGCGGUGAAAUGCGUAGAUAUCUGGAGGAACACCGGUGGCGAAGGCGGCGUCCUGGACCAACACUGACACUGAUGAGCGAAAGCCAGGGGAGCAAACGGG